CAGUGCAGUCACCCAUAAAGUAGAAAGCACUACUAACAGCACUGGAGGGUGUAGUGUUUCCUACUUUAUGGAUGAGUGUACUGU
rfam:TPA: Bos taurus chromosome 19, whole genome shotgun sequence.